rnacentral:rRNA from 1 species
CUACGCGCGGCAGCAGUGGCGAAUAGUGCACAAUGGGCGCAAGCCUGAUGCCGCCAUGCCGCGUGUAUGACGAAGGCCUUCGGGUUGUAAAGUACUUUCAGCGGGGAGGAAGGCGAUAAGGUUAAUAACCUCGUCGAUCGACGUUACCCGCAGAAGAAGCACCGGCUAACUCCGUGCCAGCAGCCGCGGUAAUACGGAGGGUGCAAGCGUUAAUCGGAAUUACUGGGCGUAAAGCGCACGCAGGCGGUCUGUCAAGUCGGAUGUGAAAUCCCCGGGCUCAACCUGGGAACUGCAUUCGAAACUGGCAGGCUAGAGUCUUGUAGAGGGGGGUAGAAUUCCAGGUGUAGCGGUGAAAUGCGUAGAGAUCUGGAGGAAUACCGGUGGCGAAGGCGGCCCCCUGGACAAAGACUGACGCUCAGGUGCGAAAGUGUGGGGAGCAAACAGGACUAGAUACCCUGGUAGUGCACGCCUUGAAUGAUGUCGACGUCGA